rnacentral:lncRNA from 1 species
CCCUCUACCACAUACGCACCAAUGGCAGCGCUCUCUGUACCAGGUACCCUCCUCCCCCUCUACCACAUACGCACCAAUGGCAGCGCUCUCUGUACCAGGUACCCUCCUCCCCUCUACCACAUACGCACCAAUGGCAGCGCUCUCUGUACCAGGUACCCUCCUCCCCCUCUACCACAUACGCACCAAUGGCAGCGCUCUCUGUACCAGGUUCCCUCCUCCCCUCUACCACAUACGCACCAAUGGCAGCGCUCUCUGUACCAGGUACCCUCCUCCCCCUCUACCACAUACGCACCAAUGGCAGCGCUCUCUGUACCAGGUACCCCUCCUCCCUCUACCACAUACGCACCAAUGGCAGCGCUCUCUGUACCAGGUACCCUCCUCCCCCUCUACCACAUACGCACCAAUGGCAGCGCUCUCUGUACCAGGUACCCUCCUCCCCCUCUACCA